AUUCCCCUAGUAACGGCGAGUGAAGCGGGAACAGCUCAAGACGGUAAUCCUUGUUAUCACUAAUAAGGAGUUGUAGUCUAUGGACGUUGCUACUGCGGUGUGUGUUGCGGCCCAAGUCCCUUGGAACAGGGCGCCAGAGAGGGUGACAGCCCCGUCCGGCCGCAAUGACGCCAGUAUGUGCGGCAGUCCGAGAGUCGGGUUGUUUGGGAAUGCAGCCCUAAGCGGGAGGUACACACCUUCCAAAGCUAAAUAUUCAGGCAAGAGACCGAUAGCGAACAAGUACCGUGAGGGAAAGUUGAAAAGCACUCUGGAGAGAGAGUGAAAAGUACGUGAAACCACUGGUAGGGAACCGCUUGCACGGGACAGUGAGCGGCAGGUCGAUUUAUCGGCUUGUCGCCGCCCAGCACGAGUUUGCGCUGCCAGAGAAGCGCUCGGCAAAGGUAGCACCCUCCGGGGUGUGUUAUAGGGCCGGGCGCGCGCUGGUGGCGUGGACUGAGGACAGCGGCACCCCCUUUAUUGGGGCGUCGGCGAUAACGGCGAGGCCCUGCUGGGCACGCGGGCAAGACAGCAUGCUGACUUGUUUGCGUGGCUAGUGGGCUACCUUGUCUCGCACGGCGUAGUUGCCACGGGUGGCUGGGAAGUGCCGAACAAGUGACCCGUCUUGAAACACGGACCAAGGAGUCUAACUUGUGCGCGAGUCACUGGGUUGGUAAACCCACGGGCGGAAUGAAAGUGAGUCCUCUGGACGUGGUGCGAUCCUUCUUCACCGGAGGUGCAGCAUCCGCCGGUUGCCUGUCUCUCUAUGAGCAGGCGAACCGAGCGCCAGCGCAUAGGCUAGGACCCGAAAGAUGGUGAACUAUACUUGGGUAGGGCGAAGCCAGAAGAAAUUCUGGUGGAGGCUCGCAGCGGUUCUGACGUGCAAAUCGAUCGUAGAACCUGAGUAUAGGGGCGAAAGACUAAUCGAACCAUCUAGUAGCUGGU
rnacentral:rRNA from 1 species